rnacentral:rRNA from 1 species
AAAUCAGGUAGGGCUACCCGCUGAA